GUGAUGUUGUGCAUGCUUAGUUGCUUUGCCGGUUUGCUAGAGUAUUGCAUGCUACUUUCUGUUUUAGUCAUGAAUUAUUUACUGUAAUUAAUUAUGAACUUGCCUAAAUCUUUCAACAAUAAUUGCCUGCACAUCCUCGUCCGUCGGUCGGCCGGGCUCAACCGUCGCCCAACAACUCGCCGAUUUGCCUCUGCCCAUCAUAAGUGUGAUAACUGUUGGCAGCUGUUGUUGCAUCGGGUCUCGAAGACGGAAGAACAUCCCAGAUGGGUUUUCUACAUGUGUGAAAUGGACAAAGUGAGUGCAAUUUUGUGUGCUUAUUCUUCGGUUUCAAAGUAAUUUGAGCUAGUUUUGAUUUUGGGAAGAAAGAAUACAUUGGUCUAUUGAUCAAGAGAGGUCUAUUGGAUGUUGGUGCUUUAGUUGCUAGAGAUGAGAUUGCAAACGAUGCAAUGCCCAAGUUUGAGGAGGCAAAGAAGAAAAAAAA
rnacentral:lncRNA from 1 species